rnacentral:rRNA from 1 species
GGCCAAGUUUUUAAGGGCGCACGGUGGAUGCCUUGGCACCAGGAACCGAUGAAGGACGUGGGAGGCCGCGAUAGGCCCCGGGGAGUCGUCAACCAGGCUUUGAUCCGGGGGUGUCCGAAUGGGGAAACCCGGCAGUCGUCAUGGGCUGUCACCCGCUGCUGAACUCAUAGGCAGUGUGGAGGGAACGCGGGGAAGUGAAACAUCUCAGUACCCGCAGGAAGAGAAAACAACCGUGAUUCCGGGAGUAGUGGCGAGCGAAACCGGAUGAGGCCAAACCGUAUGCGUGUGAGACCCGGCAGGGGUUGCGUAUACGGGGUUGUGGGAGUGUGCUUGACCGGUCUGCCGGCCGGUCGGAGAGUCAGAAACCGUUGAUGUAGGCGAAGGACAUGCGAAAGGUCCGGCGUAGAGGGUAAGACCCCCGUAGUCGAAACAUCAGCGGCUCUCUUGCGUAUUUCCCAAGUAGCACGGGGCCCGAGAAAUCCCGUGUGAAUCUGGCGGGACCACCCGCUAAGCCUAAAUAUUCCCUGGUGACCGAUAGCGGAUAGUACCGUGAGGGAAUGGUGAAAAGUACCCCGGGAGGGGAGUGAAAUAGUACCUGAAACCGUGUGCCUACAAGCCGUGGGAGCGUCGGAUGCAGCUUGCUGCAUCUCGUGACUGCGUGCCUUUUGAAGAAUGAGCCUGCGAGUUUGCGGUGUGUUGCGAGGUUAACCCGUGUGGGGAAGCCGUAGCGAAAGCGAGUCCGAACAGGGCGUUUCAGUAGCGCGCUCAAGACCCGAAGCGGAGUGAUCUAGCCAUGGGCAGGUUGAAGCGGAGGUAAGACUUCGUGGAGGACCGAACCCACCAGGGUUGAAAACCUGGGGGAUGACCUGUGGUUAGGGGUGAAAGGCCAAUCAAACUCCGUGAUAGCUGGUUCUCCCCGAAAUGCAUUUAGGUGCAGCGUCGUGUGUUUCUUGCCGGAGGUAGAGCACUGGAUAGGCGAUGGGCCCUACCGGGUUACUGACCUUAGCCAAACUCCGAAUGCCGGUAAGUGAGAGCGCGGCAGUGAGACUGUGGGGGAUAAGCUCCAUGGUCGAGAGGGAAACAGCCCAGAGCAUCGACUAAGGCCCCUAAGCGUACGCUAAGUGGGAAAGGAUGUGGAGUCGCAGAGACAACCAGGAGGUUGGCUUAGAAGCAGCCACCCUUGAAAGAGUGCGUAAUAGCUCACUGGUCAAGUGAUUCCGCGCCGACAAUGUAGCGGGGCUCAAGCGUACCGCCGAAGUCGUGUCAUUGCGAUAUCAACCCCCAACGGGGAUCGUGAUGGGUAGGGGAGCGUCGUCUGCCGGGUGAAGCAGCCGCGUAAGCGAGUUGUGGACGGUUGACGAGUGAGAAUGCAGGCAUGAGUAGCGAUUCACACGUGAGAAACGUGUGCGCCGAUUGACUAAGGGUUCCUGGGUCAAGCUGAUCUGCCCAGGGUAAGUCGGGACCUAAGGCGAGGCCGACAGGCGUAGUCGAUGGAUAACCGGUUGAUAUUCCGGUACCCGCUGUGAAGCGUCAAACAUCGAAUCCAGUGAUGCUAAGCCCGUGAAGCCGCCGGCUGAGUCUUCGGACGAGGCCGGAGUGGUGGAGCCGGUGACCCGAGCUGGUAGUAGGUGAGUGAUGGGGUGACGCAGGAAGGUAGUCCAUCCCGGGCGGUGGUUGUCCCGGGGUAAGGGUGUAGGACGUCAGGUAGGUAAAUCCGCCUGGCACGUAGUCUGAGACCUGAUGCCGAGCCGAUUGUGGUGAAGUGGAUGAUCCUAUGCUGUCGAGAAAAGCCUCUAGCGAGUUUCAUGGCGGCCCGUACCCUAAACCGACUCAGGUGGUCAGGUAGAGAAUACCGAGGCGUUCGGGUGAACUAUGGUUAAGGAACUCGGCAAAAUGCCCCCGUAACUUCGGGAGAAGGGGGGCCACGCCUGGUGAUCACUCUUGCAGUGUGAGCUGGGGGUGGCCGCAGAGACCAGCGAGAAGCGACUGUUUACUAAAAACACAGGUCCGUGCGAAGCCGUAAGGCGAUGUAUACGGACUGACGCCUGCCCGGUGCUGGAACGUUAAGGGGACCGGUUAGCUUGGAUUCGUCCAGGCGAAGCUGAGAACUUAAGCGCCAGUAAACGGCGGUGGUAACUAUAACCAUCCUAAGGUAGCGAAAUUCCUUGUCGGGUAAGUUCCGACCUGCACGAAUGGCGUAACGACUUCUCGACUGUCUCAACCAUAGGCCCGGUGAAAUUGCACUACGAGUAAAGAUGCUCGUUUCGCGCAGCAGGACGGAAAGACCCCGGGACCUUUACUACAGUUUGAUAUUGGUGUUCGGUUCGGCUUGUGUAGGAUAGCUGGGAGACUUUGAAAUGCGGACGCCAGUUCGUGUGGAGUCGUCGUUGAAAUACCAGUCUGGUCGUGCUGGAUGUCUAACCUGGGUCCGUGAUCCGGAUCAGGGACAGUGUCUGAUGGGUAGUUUAACUGGGGCGGUUGCCUCCUAAAGGGUAACGGAGGCGCCCAAAGGUUCCCUCAGCCUGGUUGGCAAUCAGGUGUUGAGUGUAAGUGCACAAGGGAGCUUGACUGUGAGACCGACGGGUCGAGCAGGGACGAAAGUCGGGACUAGUGAUCCGGCGGUGGCUUGUGGAAGCGCCGUCGCUCAACGGAUAAAAGGUACCCCGGGGAUAACAGGCUGAUCUUCCCCAAGAGUCCAUAUCGACGGGAUGGUUUGGCACCUCGAUGUCGGCUCGUCGCAUCCUGGGGCUGGAGUCGGUCCCAAGGGUUGGGCUGUUCGCCCAUUAAAGCGGUACGCGAGCUGGGUUUAGAACGUCGUGAGACAGUUCGGUCCCUAUCCGCUGUGCGCGUAGGAGUCUUGAGAAGGGCUGUCCCUAGUACGAGAGGACCGGGACGGACGAACCUCUGGUGUGCCAGUUGUUCUGCCAAGGGCAUGGCUGGUUGGCUACGUUCGGGAGGGAUAACCGCUGAAAGCAUCUAAGCGGGAAGCCUGCUUCGAGAUGAGGACUCCCACCUCUAUAAGAGGGUAAGGCUCCCAGUAGACGACUGGGUUGAUAGGCCGGAUCUGGAAGCACCGUGAGGUGUGGAGGUGACCGGUACUAAUAGGCCGAGGGCUUGUCCAU